AAAGCAGUGCCAUUCGUGAUUCACCGUUUAUUUAGGAACAUUUUACUUCAACAUGUACAAUUAAGAUCUGCACUAUGCUAAGAUUUCGUUCGACUCUACUGGUUUUAGUCGGAGUCUGUGUCAAUUGUCUCGAUGCCUUCGGAGAAUCCCGUUCCUACGAGGAUCGCUUAACUUUCCGUGUGUAUUCCCCCUCUGUCCAACAACAUGGCAACCACGAGGCCCUCCUGGAGCUCAGGACACAGAUCAACAAGGUUCACGAUGCAGAGUUCCUUAAGGAAUUGGCUCUUUCCAAUAUCAAUUUGGGGGAGCAAGGCUCGGGACUAUUCGCAGACAAUAACAAUGUCUCGUAUACUUGUCGUGAACAUUGGAACCGGACCAUAGCCGGGCUGUUGAAAAGUGAAUUCUGGGCUUUUAAAAUGCUGGACGCCUCAGGAAAAAUCGGUGCGGGGAUACUGGAGGGAAACACAAAAUGGCUGGGCUCCUACGACGAGUGUUUCCGGAUAGACCGAACUCUUCCAGGAAUGCCCCCCUCCAACAGUGGGUUCAGUACCCAGUUCUGUGGCAUGAAGACCAAUGUUCCACUCGGCGUUAUCCCUCUAGAAAUUGAACUUACUGCGUGUGUUCCAAAAGCCUGCUCACCAAAAGAUCUGACAUACCUAUAUAAUGACUUAUUGAAACGUCUUCCAACCCAAAGCCCAGUUCGUGUUCAUGAUGUUAAGUGUAAUGUAGACCCCGAGAUAGACACGAGAGCUGUUGUUGCUAUAAAUCUCCUUCCAUCACACGCAUUCACAAGUAGACAACUUCUUUCAGUAUGGUCUUAUAGAGGAUCAUGAAUACUAGAGGUUCAUACUGAAAUACAAAGCAACAGCUAGUUCUCUGUGCUGUUUCAGAAGAUGGUUAGACAAAAGGCGGAUUGACAUGGUAUACGAUUUGAACUGACCCUGUUUUCAUCAGAAGGGGUUUGAUCAAUACUGUGUGAUUCUUGGCAUCUUCGCUGUCCUGAUGUUUGUAAGUACUGUGUAUGACUUACUGGUCAUCCAGCGUCAGCGUCAUGCAACAGAACACAGCCAAUCAGAGGUCCUAAGCGAACACAUUGAAAACCUUGGAGAAAACUCACCCCUUCUCAAUUCACGUGAAAAGAAAUCGGUUCCAAAACAAGAAAGUGUCGCUGAGAGACUCCUGUUGGCCUUCUCCGUCUACUCCAAUGGGAAGAAGAUCCUGCAAGUAAACCAGUCCUCGGGCACCCUGACCGCCCUGAACGGCAUCCGUUUCCUGAGCAUCUCCUGGGUGGUACUGGGCCACACAUUUGGCGUCAUGUACCCCGUUCUGAGCAACGGUUAUGCAAUACUUCCUGACCUUUAUCAACGUUGGUCAUUUCAGGCAGUGGCUAACGCCUUCGUUGCGGUCGAUUCUUUCUUUGCUUUGAGUGGUCUACUGUUGGCAUACCUCACUCUGAAGGAAAUGAAAAAAGGACAAGGAAAAUUCAGAAUCAACUGGUUCAUGUUCUACUUUCACAGAUUUUGGAGGUUGACUCCAGCCUACAUGUUGUUGAUGAUGAUCAGUAUCUGUCUGUCUCGCUACUUUGAAGAGGGACCACUUUGGCCUGACCAAGGCAUUGAAGUAAAUUACUGCAAGAACACUUGGUGGAAAAAUCUGCUGUAUAUUAACAACUUCUAUAUGUUUCGGUGUGUCCUGGUAUCUAGCCAAUGAUAUGCAGUUCUUUGUCCUUAGUCCUCUGAUGCUGGCCCCACUAUAUUUCAAAUAUCGAGCUGGGAUGGUCAUCUGUUUUAUCUGGUUGUUGGGGUCCGCCAUCACCCCAGGGGUUAUAUCCAACGUGCUGAAUCUACCGCCAAGUGCCUUUGGUGGAGGCGGAACAAUCCAAGGGCGGACUGAUUACUUAAGCAACUAUUACGCUCGGCCGUACUGUCGGAUUGGGCCUUAUAUAGUUGGAAUCAUCGUUGGAUCACUCAUGUACAAAACAGACUGCAAAGUCAAGAUAAACAAGUACCUGAACCUACUACUGUGGCUGGUUUUCGCUACCCUGGCCGUGGUGGUUCUGUACGGACUCCGAGAUCCGAUCAAUUUCCCGGAGGAUGCGCUUAACCGUGACGUAUCCGCUCUCUACAACGCCACGCACAGAAUUGUCUGGGGAGCUUGCGUUUGUUGGGUCAUCUUUGCAUGCGCAACCGGAAAUGGAGGUUUCAUCAACACUCUUCUCUCCUGGUCGCCUUUUGUACCACUAGCCCGUCUGUCCUAUUGCAUCUUUCUGUCGCAUUUUAUGAUUAUCUCCACGUACUUCGACAGUCAAAAGAGUCUGUUAUAUAUGGAUGACCUAAAUGCUAUUUACGUGUUUUUGGCCACUCUAGUCCUGUCGGUGAUGGUUGCCUUUGUAGCCUCGUUAUCAUUUGAAGCGCCUAUGAUGGGACUGGAGAAAGUGAUCUUUAAACGAGAUCGAAGAAACUAGAUACCAAAUAAUUUUUAAUAGGUUAAUUCCAUUGUGUUUACUGUUUUGAGAUAUAUUUUUAUUUUCCAUUUAUGGGAAAUAUAUUUUUAAUUAUUUUUGUAAAUAAACUCUUAAAAC
rnacentral:misc_RNA from 1 species